CCUUCAGAAUUAUUUGGACAGAAGUUUAAAAAACGUGAAGAUUUUUUUCAAUCUCCUUGUCCUUCUUCUUUAAUUGGUGUUCAACUUAUCUCCGACUUGAGUGCAGUACGAAGAUUUAAUAUUAAUUUAAUCGAAUCAAAAUGUGUAGUACUUCCAUUUGAGACUGAAUUUAUAUGCUAUCCCUUGAUUCACAGUGAAAUUCAGUGAAAUUAAGUGAAAUUCACUUUUUACAAUGCCGUACUCUAUAGUUCAUUUUGUUGAAACUGACGAGGUAGAAAUUAUCCCAAUCAAUUGGCUGUCAGCAAGUAAAAAUAAAUGUUGGUGGCCGCCGUACAAAUCUUCAGAACGCCAAUCGAAGGCCGUCAUGAAUGGGGACACGCCAAAUCAGCAAGUUUGGUUAUCGUUUGACGUAAAAGUUUUAGGUGGAGGCAAAAUAUUUGGUGAGUCUUUUUUAUUGCAUACAUUGAUAAAGUUAUUUAUAAGAAAGAAAAAUGCUGUUUAUUUGUUUGUUAAGGUUCUUAUAAUCAAGCAAAAAAUAAUGUUGGAAAAGCAUUGGAAGAAACUGAUCCGGAAUUUGAGAGCGACUUGGAAGUAACUGGUCGAGGGCAACGACACAAGAAAACUGUUCAUCUACCACCGCCCGGCGACUCCGAUAGUGAAGAAGAACCGCCCAAAAUGAAGCAAAAUCGUUCUAUUCCCACGAAGACAAUACCGCCACCACCACAAUAUUUUAGUUUAGUGGGAGAGGGCUUGCAAUCAGAAAAGGAAGACGGCCACGAAUCAAGUUUACCAGGACCGAGUGACCCCCCAUCGCCAACUAAUUCACAGCAAUACCAAGGCACACUCUCUAGCGAGCAAGUUUUAUCUAGCUCUCACGAAUUGGAAAGCCGUUCGAUUCCUCAGGCAGAGGACAUUGAUACAACUUUCGGCAGAGAUAAUGGCACGUUACCAAACGCAGGAAAUUUAGGUAGGUGUGUGACAAUUUAUGUAAUGUCUCAGUAAUAAAUAACUUGGGGGACCAAGACGGGUGGUCAAAACGAAAAGUUUCCAGUGGGUUUAUUACCAGUGGAUGAUGAGUCUGACUUGAAGAAACUCGAGGAUUUCGCCAAGGCAUCAAGAAUCACAUUGAUUACAGAACUGCAGAAAGGCAUACGUGCGACCAAGGAUGUAAAGAUUGCUACACAGCGGAUACUAGCCAAGUUGCUGACAGAUAAGUAUGCAUCGUCAUACAACUGGAUUGGUUCAAGAGGACCGAAGUCACCUUUUUCAAAAUCAUGGAUGAAGCACAUUAUAUAUGAGGCAAUUCAAGGACUGGAAAACUUGGGCAACGCUGACGACGACGAGAUUUGGGAAGCAAUUAAAAAUUGGCUCAAAAAUUCCAACAAGCGUAUUGAAUCGGAUAGGAAAAAGUUGGAGAAGUCCAAUGCAGCUCUUCCAUUAAGAAAUACUGGACCAGAAUCAGACAAUUGAUUUUUUUCACAAUUUUUUAUUGUUAUUUGGAUUUAAAACUUUAUGUAAUGUUAAUGGUCAGUAAUAAAUCAUAAUUCCCGCAUCUAA